rnacentral:rRNA from 1 species
AACGAACGCUGGCGGCAGGCUUAACACAUGCAAGUCGAACGCGUGUAGCAAUACACGAGUGGCGCACGGGUGAGUAACGCGUGGAUAUCUGCCUUUUGGUUCGGAAUAACCCCGGGAAACUGGGGCUAAUACCGGAUGGUUCCUUCGGGAUAAAGAUUUAUCGCCAAAAGAUGAGUCCGCGUACGAUAGCUAGUUGGUGAGGUAAUGGCUCACCAAGGCGACGAUCGUUAGCUGGUCUGAGAGGACGAUCAGCCACACUGGGACUGAGACACGGCCCAGACUCCUACGGGAGGCAGCAGUGGGGAAUAUUGGACAAUGGGGGCAACCCUGAUCCAGCCAUGCCGCGUGAGUGAUGAAGGCCUUCGGGUUGUAAAGCUCUUUUGGCGGGGACGAUGAUGACGGUACCCGCAGAAUAAGCCCCGGCUAACUUCGUGCCAGCCGCCGCCGUAC